rnacentral:rRNA from 1 species
AGUGAACGCUGGCAGUAGGCCUAACACAUGCAAGUCGAACGGCAGCACAGGAGAGCUUGCUCUCUGGGUGGCGAGUGGCGGACGGGUGAGGAAUACAUCGGAAUCUACUUUUUCGUGAGGGAUAACGUAGGGAAACUUACGCUAAUACCGCAUACGACCUACGGGUGAAAGCAGGGGACCUUCGGGCCUUGCGCGAUUGAAUGAGCCGAUGUCGGAUUAGCUAGUUGGCGGGGUAAAGGCCCACCAAGGCGACGAUCCGUAGCUGGUCUGAGAGGAUGAUCAGCCACACUGGAACUGAGACACGGUCCAGACUCCUACGGGAGGCAGCAGUGGGGAAUAUUGGACAAUGGGCGCAAGCCUGAUCCAGCCAUACCGCGUGGGUGAAGAAGGCCUUCGGGUUGUAAAGCCCUUUUGUUGGGAAAGAAAUCCAGCUGGCUAAUACCCGGUUGGGAUGACGGUACCCAAAGAAUAAGCACCGGCUAACUUCGUGCCAGCAGCCGCAGUAA